GGAAUAGUGGGAGUAGGAGGUAAAAGAAAUCUGCUCGCAUAACUGGUAUCAUCUCAAUCCUUUUCAGUCCGUGGAUCCUAGGUACAUAGGAGAAAACUUGGAGAACAGAGAAAUACGAGUCUCUUGAAGUUGUCUAAAAAGCACAGUUUUAGUCCGUCCCAGCUAGUGCUAUCUUGGGUCCGUAAUCAAGGAGAUGGCGCUGUUCCAAUCCCUGGAACCACUGUUGUGAAUUUUACAAGGACAUUU
rnacentral:lncRNA from 1 species